GUGGGGGUCGCCUAGCCCGGCCAUGGCGGUAGCCUGCUAAGUUACUGAGCCUUCGGCUCACGUGAGUUCAAAUCUCACCCCCCACGCCA
rnacentral:tRNA from 1 species